UCCAGUCCACGCUGCACUUCCAAGAAAUCUUCCUCUAAUGAUAUGUUAUUUCUCUUUCUUUUUAAAAGAGGCGGCCUCGUCAGAAGCAUUAAGGCCUCUGGUUAGACUGCAGCGGUUGGGAGUGAGCUGCCCCAGGGCCCCCCGCAUCUUCUGUAGCGGAGGUGCGAUGCACACGCGGGUCCGAAGGCUCCAGUGCUCCCUGCUCUUUUCAGUGCAUUAAAGACGCGAGUCCGUGAGGACCCUGCGGGCUCCUUUCCUCCUAAGAGACGCUUUCUUAGGUGCAUGGAAGGGAAAUGACAGGUGUGUGACCGGCAGGAAAUCCAUUUGAAGGGAAAUUAAUGUGAUUGCUGCCAGGUCUUAAAAACCAGCGGGGUGCUCUGUCACACACCGAACCUGUCCGCCUACUGGUCGCUUCCAUAGUUUGAUUCGGGGAUCUUUCUGGAGUCCUUCAGAAGCUCACAAGCCAGGGAGGGGAUGACCGCCACAGCCAGUUUCCACCCUCCUGUUGGCAGGUGGAGUCGGGCCACCGUGUGAUCUUGUGAUGGGUGUUCUGGCCUUUCUGAGCCACUGAGGUUGACAUCCCUAGGACUCUUGGUCCUUCUUCACAGCUGCCCCCUGCCCUUCCAGGAUGGGGGCACCACGAGGGCAUCGUCUUCAUGGCCUCACGGGAUGCUUGUGCAGUGCUCGUGUGGRGCGGGACUCCCACACGGACUGUAACCCCUGAAGGCAUGGCCUGGCACAGUGCCUGCCCUUCUGGUGGCCCCCACGCUGACGUUUGUGGAAUGGGCUGUGGUGGAGAUGAUGCAUUAGAGACCUGGGACUGCAGAUUCCAGGGAGCUGGGUACUCUCCUACACCACAGAGUCGCUGCUUAACCACCACGUGUCCACAGCUCCGUAUUUGCCUUCAACAAACACGUGAGGCUGAUGAGAAGUUGAAGAGGAUUUCCAACUGAUUAGCAGUCAGGAGACCCAUUAACCAAGGCCACCCGGCCAGAGCACAUCUCAUUACCGCAAGAGACGGUGGCCUCUGUGAUAAGGAAUGAUCCUUUCCUGCAUCUGACCCUUUAUGUCUUAAAGAACCACGUUAAAGAAAGGCAGAGGAGGA